rnacentral:rRNA from 1 species
CGGACGGGUGAGUAAUGUCUGGGAAACUGCCCGAUGGAGGGGGAUAACUACUGGAAACGGUAGCUAAUACCGCAUAACGUCGCAAGACCAAAGAGGGGGACCUUCGGGCCUCUUGCCAUCGGAUGUGCCCAGAUGGGAUUAGCUAGUAGGUGGGGUAACGGCUCACCUAGGCGACGAUCCCUAGCUGGUCUGAGAGGAUGACCAGCCACACUGGAACUGAGACACGGUCUAG